rnacentral:rRNA from 1 species
UACGUAGGGUGCGAGCGUUGUCCGGAAUUACUGGGCGUAAAGAGUUCGUAGGCGGUUUGUCGCGUCGUCUGUGAAAACCCAUCGCUCAACGAUGGGCCGGGCAGGCGAUACGGGCAGACUUGAGUACUGCAGGGGAGACUGGAAUUCCUGGUGUAGCGGUGAAAUGCGCAGAUAUCAGGAGGAACACCGGUGGCGAAGGCGGGUCUCUGGGCAGUAACUGACGCUGAGGAACGAAAGCGUGGGUAGCAAACAGG